GACGAACGCUGGCGGCGUGCUUAACACAUGCAAGUCGAACGGAAAGGCCCUGCUUUUGUGGGGUGCUCGAGUGGCGAACGGGUGAGUAACACGUGAGUAACCUGCCCUUGACUUUGGGAUAACUUCAGGAAACUGGGGCUAAUACCGGAUAGGAGCUCCUGCUGCAUGGUGGGGGUUGGAAAGUUUCGGCGGUUGGGGAUGGACUCGCGGCUUAUCAGCUUGUUGGUGGGGUAGUGGCUUACCAAGGCUUUGACGGGUAGCCGGCCUGAGAGGGUGACCGGCCACAUUGGGACUGAGAUACGGCCCAGACUCCUACGGGAGGCAGCAGUGGGGAAUAUGGCACAAUGGGCGGAAGCCUGAUGCAGCAACGCCGCGUGCGGGAUGACGGCCUUCGGGUUGUAAACCGCUUUCGCCUGUGACGAAGCGUGAGGGACGGUAAUGGGUAAAGAAGCACCGGCUAACUACGU
rnacentral:rRNA from 1 species